UACAGAGGGUGCAAGCGUUGUUCGGAAUUAUUGGGCGUAAAGGGUGCGUAGGCGGUGCGGUAAGUCUUUUGUGAAAUCUCCGGGCUCAACCCGGAGCCUGCAAGGGAAACUGCCGUGCUUGAGUGUGGGAGAGGUGAGUGGAAUUCCCGGUGUAGCGGUGAAAUGCGUAGAUAUCGGAAGGAACACCAGUGGCGAAAGCGGCUUCCUGGUCCAGCACCGACGUUCAGGCACGAAAGCGUGGGGAGCAAACAGG
rnacentral:rRNA from 1 species